rnacentral:lncRNA from 1 species
AGAGGGAACGCUAGGCUACGCUACCACCAGAUCACCAAAGAGGGAACGCUAGGCUACGCUACCACCAGACCACCAAAGAGGGAACGCUAGGCUACGCUACCACCAGAUCACCAAAGAGGGAACGCUAGGCUACGCUACCACCAGAUCACCAAAGAGGGAACGCUAGGCUACGCUACCACCAGAUCACCAAAGAGGGAAAGCUAGGCUACGCUACCACCAGAUCACCAAAGAGGGAACGCUAGGCUAGGCUACCACCAGAUCACCAAAGAGGGAACGCUAGGCUAGGCUACCACCAGAUCACCAAAGAGGGAACACUAGGCUAGGCUACCACCAGACCACCAAAGAGGGAACGCUAGGCUACGCUACCACCAGCUCAUCAAAGAGGGAACACCACAGAGGGAACGCUAGGCUACGCUACCACCAGAUCAGAGGGAACACUAGGCUAGGCUACCACCAGCUCAUCAAAGAGGGAACGCUAGGCUAGGCUACCACCAGUCCACUCCUUGAUAAUCUUAUACCCAUAAUGACCAGAGAUGAAAUGUCCAUUGAGACUGAGGGGGCAACGAGACACUGCUUUAGUGGGGGUAAGGUCACACAGUUUGUAUCUCAAAUGGCAGCCUAUUCCCUACAUUUGGGGUUCUUAAACUUUUUCAGCCUGAGACCCAAAUGAGAAACUGACCAUCCUCCCAUGACCAAAAUAAGAAAAAAAUACUGUGUGAUAAUCUACCACUUUGGGAGUCGGCAUUAUUUAUAUUAGUCUCCAUAAGGAAUAGAAACGAGUGGCACAUCUAUAACAUAUUUACUACAACAACAUGAAUUCUGUGUUAUGUGGUGAUCUCCCAGAGUCCUGUGUGUUGAUCUCCCAGAGUCCUGUGUGUUGAUCUCCCAGAGUCCUGUGUGUCGAUCUCCCAGAGUCCUGUGUGUCGUUCUCCCAGAGUCCUGUGUGUCGUUCUCCCAGAGUCCUGUGUGUCGAUCUCCCAGAGCCCUGUGUGUCGUUCUCCCAGAGUCCUGUGUGUCGAUCUCCCAGAGUCCUGUGUGUAGUUCUCCCAGAGUCCUGUGUGUUGGCGCUUCCUUCAGACCCACAGAGACGAGAUGACCCCUGACCCUGAGCUACAGAGCCUGCUCACCAUCACCUCUUAUCACAUCACACUGGCCAUGGAACACCUCCGAUCCAAAAUGGAAGCCAGUUUCCUCCUCCUCCCACUCAUUCCUUAUGACACCAACUGCCACCUGCAUUACUGGUCUGGGACCUGACAUUAGACAGACAGUAAAUGAUCUGGGGUCUGUGUUCCAGGUGGUGCACUGUGACCUACGAUCAUUUCUUACAGACAGUAACCCAUACACACAGCUACAGAACAUUUAUUAGUCCUGAUCUCUGACCUGUACUUACAGGUGGUGGGUGCACUGUGACCUGGCCGGUCAGAAAACCAACUAUUACAGCUUCAAGGGGGACGUGUGGGCAUUUGGCAUCGUGCUGUGGGAGAUGCAGACAUUUGGUGAGUUUUGGAAAACAAAAUGUCUGCCAUCAUCAUUUACAAGGCUGUAUGGGUGGCUGCCUGGUGUCCAUCAUGAUAAAGACAGGUCAAAUCUUGUGUUCGUCUAACCUUUAUUUACCCAGAUAAUUAAUUGAGAACAAAUCCCAAAUUAAAUAUAAUUAUAACAACAUGGACAUAACAAAGUGGAUGUUUGUGGUUCCCAGGCACCUUACCAUACCCUAACCUGGAGACGCCAUCUGUCCCAGCCACAAGAACACAGACCUGUCCCUGAGGGCUACAGGCCAAACAUGUGACCGUGACAUCAUUGAUAGUGUCGUGGUAACAGGGUCCUAUUCAGUAGAACACGAUGUAGCAAAACAAAAACCUGUGUUCUUAUUGGACAGGUUCAGGUAAGACCUCUGUUUCCUGAACAAUAACCCAGACAUGAACAGACCCCUCUAUGGAAUACUGGAUAUAGGUUUAUUUUUUAUUCAUUUUUCUAUUCAAGGGUUUCGUCACAAAUGACACCCUAUUCAUUCAGUGCAUUCCUUCUGACCAGAACCCUAUAUAGGGAAUAGGGUGCCAUUUGGAGAAGUACCAAAUAACAAAAAAUAAAGUUUGAAUUGAACAUCUAAAUGGAGCUGGUCUGUUUAAUACCGUUGUAAACACACUGUACUCACAUCCUGACCCCUCAAUACACACUGUACUCACAUCCUGACCCCUCAAUACACUGUACUCACAUCCUGACCCCUCAAUACACACUGUACUCACAUCCUGACCCCUCAAUACACACUGUACUCACAUCCUGACCCCCUCAACACACUGUACUCACAUCCUGACCCCUCAAUAUACUGUACUCACAUCCUGACCCCCUCAACACACUGUACUCACAUCCUGACCCCUCAAUACACACUGUACUCACAUCCUGACCCCUCAAUACACACUGUACUCACAUCCUGACCCCUCAAUACACACUGUACUCACAUCCUGACCCCUCAAUAUACUGUACUCACAUCCUGACCCCCUCAACACACUGUACUCACAUCCUGACCCCUCAAUAUACUGUACUCACAUCCUGACCCCCUCAACACACACUGUACUCACAUCCUGACCCCCUCAACACACCAGGAACAGUAGACCUCACAUCCUGACCCCUCAAUACACCAGGAACAGUAGACCUCACAUCCUGACCCCUCAAUACACCAGGAACAGUAGACCUCACAUCCUGACCCCUCAAUACACCAGGAACAGUAGACCUCACAUCCUGACCCCCUC